UGAGGAACAUGACCUUCGGCGGGGGAUAGCCGGCCCAACGGCCGGGUAAUACCGCGUACGACCACUUUGGGACAUCCCUAGGUGGUGAAAGCAGCAAUGCGCCGAUGGAGUGCCUCGCGGCCUAUCAGCUAGUUGGUGAGGUAACGGCUCACCAAGGCGACGACGGGUAGCCGGCCUGAGAGGGCGAUCGGCCACACUGGAACUGAGACACGGCCCAGACUCCUACGGGNGCAG
rnacentral:rRNA from 1 species